rnacentral:rRNA from 1 species
UGGCCAAACUACCCUACAGACCGCGAUAACCUCGGGAAACUGAGGCCAAUAGCGGGAUACAACUCUCAUGCUGGAGUGCCGAGAGUUGGAAACGUUCCGGCGCUGUAGGAUGUGGCUGCGGCCGAUUAGGUAGAUGGUGGGGUAACGGCCCACCAUGCCGAUAAUCGGUACAGGUUGUGAGAGCAAGAGCCUGGAGACGGUAUCUGAGACAAGAUACCGGGCCCUACGGGGCGCAGCAGGCGCGAAACCUUUACACUGCACGACAGUGCGAUAGGGGGACUCCGAGUG